rnacentral:rRNA from 1 species
UACGUAGGGAGCGAGCGUUGUCCGGAUUUAUUGGGCGUAAAGGGCGCGUAGGCGGCUUGUUAAGUCGGAUGUGAAAUCUUGGGGCUUAACCCCGAAACGGCACUCGAAACUGCCCGGCUGGAGGGCCGGAGAGGAGAUCGGAAUUCACGGUGUAGCAGUGAAAUGCGUAGAGAUCGUGAGGAAGACCCGUGGCGAAGGCGGAUCUCUGGACGGCUAACUGACGCUGAGGCGCGAAGGCCAGGGGAGCAAACGGG